GAUGAACGCUGGCGGCGUGCUUAACACAUGCAAGUCGAACGGAAAGGCCCGUGCUUGCACUGGUGCUCGAGUGGCGAACGGGUGAGUAACACGUGGGUGAUCUGCCCUGCACUUUGGGAUAAGCCUGGGAAACUGGGUCUAAUACCAGAUAGGACCAUGCUUUGGAUGGUGUGGUGGAAAGUUUUUUCGGUGUGGGAUGAGCUUGCGGCCUAUCAGCUUGUUGGUGGGGUAAUGGCCUACCAAGGCGUCGACGGGUAGCCGGCCUGAGGGGGUGUACGGCCACAUUGGGACUGAGAUACGGCCCAGACUCCUACGGGAGGCAGCAGUGGGGAAUAUUGCACAAUGGGCGCAAGCCUGAUGCAGCGACGCCGCGUGGGGGAUGACGGCCUUCGGGUUGUAAACUCCUUUCGCAACUGACGAAGCUUUUUGUGACGGUAGGUUGAGAAGAAGCACCGGCUAACUACGUG
rnacentral:rRNA from 1 species